UUUCUUUAUAAGGACGUAAGUUUAUUCAAUUUAAGAUUUUAUUAAUGAAUAUUGUAAAGAUUCCUGUGAGUUACGGUUGCGGUUAAGAUGGCGCCACCAGUACAUUACCACAUCCCAGUUCACUGAAUCAAUGAAACAUAUAUUGCAAUGAACGAGGAUAAUCGUGUGACAUUCAACAAAAAGUCCUUUCACUAAAUAAAUACUAAGGAAAUUAGACCAAAA